rnacentral:rRNA from 1 species
AUUGAACGCUGGCGGCAGGCCUAACACAUGCAAGUCGAGCGGAGCGGCGGACGGGUGAGUCAUGCCUAGGCAUCUGCCUGGUAGUGGGGGAUAACGUCCGGAAACGGGCGCUACUACCGCAUACUCUCCGUUGAGCCUAGUUCGGAUUAGCUAGUUGGUGGGGUAAAGGCCUACCAAGGCGACGAGCCGUAACUGGUCUGAGAGGAUGAUCAGUCACACGGUAACUGAGACACGGUCCAGACUCCUACGGGAGGCAGCAGUGGGGAAUAUUGGACAAUGGGCGAAAGCCUGAUCCAGCCAUGCCGCGUGUGUGAAGAAGGUCUUCGGAUUGUAAAGCACUUUAAGUUGGGAGGCGGUACCAACAGAAUAAGCACCGGCGAACUACGUGCCAGCAGCCGCGGUAAUUC